AUCUGAUUUAGACGGUAGGGUAUUGGCCUACCGCGGCAAUGACGGGGUAACGGGAAAUAGGGUUUGAUUCUGGAGAGGGAGCCUGAGAGACGGGUACCACUUAUAUGGAGGGCAGCACGCGCGCAAAUAUUCAACCUCUUAAUACACGGAGUGGNGACACGAAAUAACACUACACGAGUCUUAGGUUUUGUAAUUGGAAUGAGUUAAGUAUAAACCCCCCUCCAAGUAUCAAAUGGAGGGCAAGUCUGGGGCCAGCAGCCGCGGUAAUUCCAGCUCCAAAAGAGUAUAUUAAAGUUGUGGCACUUAAAAAAAUCGUAGAUGGAUUUCUGUUAAUAAUUUAUAUAAAAUAUUUAGAAUAUCUAUAUAACAUUAACAUAAUUCUUAUUAUUAUAUUUUUUAGUAUAGGAAAUUUUAUUUUGAGAAAAUUAGAGUGUUUAAAGCAGGCAUAUCCCUGGAAUAUUCCACCAGGGAAUAAUAUUAAAGAUUUUUAUCUUUCUUAUUGGUUCUAGGAUAAAAAUAAUGGUUAAUAGGGACAGUUGGGGGCAUUUGUAUUUAACAGUCAGAGGUGAAAUUCUUAGAUUUGUUAAAGACAAACUAAUGCGAAAGCAUUUGCCAAGGAUGUGUU
rnacentral:rRNA from 1 species